UCAACAAUGUCAUAAAAUGACAGAAAUACCCAGUUAAGUUUAUUAAAAUUCAAGACAAUAAACAUGUUAGGUACAUAAGUCCACAUUUUUUUUAAGCGGUAAAUCUCACAAUUUUUUAUUUGAGACAAAAUUCCAGUUGGGCAGUUUGUUGUCGUUAAGCUAUUGGUUUCAGCCGUGCUGACUAUGCACAAUUUUGGCCCACAAAUGAAGUUUAUUCUUAAGCUAUAUAGGCUCCAUCCAACCAUACAUAAUACUUUAGAUAAAGUCAGAUUUAGUGCCCAAACCAACAUUUAUUUGUUUA
rnacentral:lncRNA from 1 species